CGAGAAAAUGAUAAUGAUAAAUAAAACAUCUCCAAAUGAACAACUUCAAAAAUGGCUGUCGUCCUCCGUCUCGACCCGCUGAGGCCAUUCUCAGCCAACUGCGUCGCCUCCCGUCGCCAGAACCCUAGAUUCUGUCCUUUGAAUUUCCAACAACAUCAAAAUCGGAGCUCCAUAAUCGGCACUUCCUUCAAUCUUCGCCGUGGUCGGGGCUCAGUUGCCAGUCAGCUAGACAGCGGCUCAGACCCUAACAGCCCUCAAGAUGAAAAGGAGGACAGUGCGGGAGUCAAAGUGGCUUUGUCCAUGCUCAGAUUCUACAAGAGAGAAAUUUCGCCUCUGUUGCCAAACAGUUGCCGGUACAUUCCGACCUGCAGUGAGUACUCCAUGGAAGCUUACAAGAAGUACGGGGUCGCGAAAGGCACUGUCUUGACUGCGUGGCGUCUUUGUCGUUGCAACCCUCUCGGUGGGUCGGGUUUUGAUCCUCCGCGAUGGUUCAAUGAGGAGCGCCCUAGUCCUGAGGAGUGAAACUCCAGCAGUGAGGUUUUCUAAUUUGAAAGGCCCAAUUAAUCUGCUUUCCACAAUCAAGAAAAACAAAAGAAGAGACCCAGAUGAAAUCAGGAUGAAGGAAAGACAUACAUCGUCAGCUUCAUCCACAGGAAGUGGCAAGAUUCAAGCACUUUCAGUUGCAGGGGCUGUUCAUUUUCAGACCAUCCAGAUUUUUAAACACCUGGCUCGACCCGAUGUUCAAAGGAAUACCUCUAUUCGGUGUGCUUGCUGCAGAGGAUCCGCUCUUUGCUGACGGACUCGUUAUUCUGCGGCUCCUCAUGUUAACUUAUCAGAGUGAGAUGCAUUGGUAGGACACCCAAUAAGUUAUGGACCUGUGGGCUAGACGGCGGGAGUGAUCUUGUUAGACAUUGCAUGCGACGUUUAAUUAUUUUCGAAUCCAAUGAACUUGGAAAUGAAUCCCCUCACCGUUAGAUCUGCCGAUGGUCCCCUACUCAAAUGGCAGUGCAUCUGAUGGCUCUCGUAUAUUAUUUUUAAAUAUUUACAUGUACCUGUGUGAUUUGCAGCAAUGAUUGGGUAGUAGUAAGUGGGAGGUCAACGGAUUGUUUUCCAAUUUGCCAAAAUUGUUUAUAGGAAUAAUGGAAUCGAUCGACGUCCCAACUUUGAAA